CGCCAGCAAGACCAGGAGGGUCCGGUAGAGGGCGCUGCGGCGCGGGACGCGGGCGGCGCGGUUUGACCCUCGCAGGCCGCCGUACGGGCUAUAAAAGGCGCGGCGCGCGGUUGUGCGUCCUUUCCCGGCGGUGGCGGCGGAGCAGCGGCUGUCGGAGCGCGUCUUUCCCGGGAGCAGCCGGGCCGGCGGCGCUCAGGAGGCGGCCAGGGAGUUUGCCUGCUGGAAACCGCGCGCCUGGGAGGGCGUCCUGGGGUCUCGGGAAGGAAGAAGACGGCUGGCCUGUGGCCGGGCCAGAAAAACUCCCCGCCACCAUCCAGAACGAGGUGGAGAGCUGAACACUGGUACAGGCAGCCAAGACCCGGGCUGGCUGCUCAGGGUAAGAGACUCACCGAGUUCAAGUUUAAAAAAAAAAAAAAAUUCUGCGUUUUUUUUGUAAAACAUUUGUGCAGCGUUGGCGUGUUGAAAAGGAGUCGUGUGCUCAGCUUGGGAAGUUUGCACUGGGAGGUGGAGCCGCUGGGUCAGGGCAGCAGGAACUGUCGAGUGUCGGUAGGCAGUAGAUACUGUUCCGGACUCCAGAAAAUCCAGGCAGGCCGAGGCGGAGGGGUCGAGAGAAGCGGGGCCUGUGUCUUCACUUCAGUGCAGCGGUUGUUGGCGGAGGCCCCACCCGUGGCCGCUGUGGCCUGGGCUCUGUGCUCAGGGAAGGGGCGCACCCCAUCUUGGAGGCGCCAGGCCUGUAUGGGCAGCCCUGCAUGUGUGCCUUGUGUGGCAGGCUCUUCCCCCAGCACCGUGUGUCCUGAUUCUUUUUUUUUUCUUUUAAGACUU
rnacentral:lncRNA from 1 species